CUUGACCGAGCCCAGGUAGAGGGGCUCGCCGCGGUCCUGCCCGUACGUGGCGAGCAGCGCCUGCGCCUC
rnacentral:antisense_RNA from 1 species